UCUUCGGAUUGAAGCAAUUGUGACUGAGCGGCGGACGGGUGAGUAACGCGUGGGUAACCUGCCUCAUACAGGGGGAUAACAGUUGGAAACGGCUGCUAAUACCGCAUAAGCGCACAGUACCGCAUGGUACCGUGUGAAAAACUCCGGUGGUAUGAGAUGGACCCGCGUCUGAUUAGCUAGUUGGUGGGGUAACGGCCUACCAAGGCGACGAUCAGUAGCCGACCUGAGAGGGUGACCGGCCACAUUGGGACUGAGACACGGCCCAAACUCCUACGGGAGGCAGCAGUGGGGAAUAUUGCACAAUGGGGGAAACCCUGAUGCAGCGACGCCGCGUGAGCGAUGAAGUAUUUCGGUAUGUAAAGCUCUAUCAGCAGGGAAGAAAAUGACGGUACCUGACUAAGAAGCCCCGGCUAACUACGUGCCAGCAGCCGCGGUAAUACGUAGGGGGCAAGCGUUAUCCGGAUUUACUGGGUGUAAAGGGAGCGUAGACGGCAUGGCAAGCCAGAUGUGAAAGCCCGGGGCUCAACCCCGGGACUGCAUUUGGAACUGUCAGGCUAGAGUGUCGGAGAGGAAAGCGGAAUUCCUAGUGUAGCGGUGAAAUGCGUAGAUAUUAGGAGGAACACCAGUGGCGAAGGCGGCUU
rnacentral:rRNA from 1 species